rnacentral:misc_RNA from 1 species
GAUGAAGAACGCAGCGAAAUGCGAUAAGUAAUGUGAAUUGCAGAAUUCAGUGAAUCAUCGAAUCUUUGAACGCACAUUGCGCCCCCUGGUAUUCCGGGGGGCAUGCCUGUUCGAGCGUCAUUUCACCACUCAAGCCUCGCUUGGUAUUGGGCAUCGCGGUCCGCCGCGCGCCUCAAAUCGACCGGCUGGGUCUUCUGUCCCCUAAGCGUUGUGGAAACUAUUCGCUAAAGGGUGUUCGGGAGGCUACGCCGUAAAACAACCCCAUUUCUAAGGUUGACCUCGGAUCAGGUAGGGAUACCCGCUGAACUUAAGCAUAUCAAUAGCGGAGGA